rnacentral:tRNA from 1 species
UUUUAUAUAGUUUAAUUAAAACAUUAUAUUUUCAUUAUAAAAAAAAAGAAAUUAUCUUUUAUAAAAA